rnacentral:rRNA from 1 species
CAGUCGAACGAAACUUCUUUAUCACCGAGUGCUUGCACUCACCGAUAAAGAGUUGAGUGGCGAACGGGUGAGUAACACGUGGGCAACCUGCCCAAAAGAGGGGGAUAACACUUGGAAACAGGUGCUAAUACCGCAUAACCAUAGUUACCGCAUGGUAACUAUGUAAAAGGUGGCUAUGCUACCGCUUUUGGAUGGGCCCGCGGCGCAUUAGCUAGUUGGUGGGGUAAAGGCUUACCAAGGCGAUGAUGCGUAGCCGAACUGAGAGGUUGAUCGGCCACAUUGGGACUGAGACACGGCCCAAACUCCUACGGGAGGCAGCAGUAGGGAAUCUUCCACAAUGGGCGAAAGCCUGAUGGAGCAACGCCGCGUGGGUGAAGAAGGUCUUCGGAUCGUAAAACCCUGUUGUUAGAGAAGAAAGUGCGUGAGAGUAACUGUUCACGUUUCGACGGUAUCUAACCAGAAAGCCACGGCUAACUACGUGCCAGCAGCCGCGGUAAUACGUAGGUGGCGAGCGUUAUCCGGAUUUAUUGGGCGUAAAGGGAACGCAGGCGGUCUUUUAAGUCUGAUGUGAAAGCCUUCGGCUUAACCGGAGUAGUGCAUUGGAAACUGGGAGACUUGAGUGCAGAAGAGGAGAGUGGAACUCCAUGUGUAGCGGUGAAAUGCGUAGAUAUAUGGAAGAACACCAGUGGCGAAAGCGGCUCUCUGGUCUGUAACUGACGCUGAGGUUCGAAAGCGUGGGUAGCAAACAGGAUUAGAUACCCUGGUAGU